UGGGGAAUUUUGGACAAUGGGCGCAAGCCUGAUCCAGCAAUGCCGCGUGCAGGAUGAAGGCCUUCGGGUUGUAAACUGCUUUUGUACGGAACGAAACGGUCUUUUCUAAUACAGAAGGCUAAUGACGGUACCGUAAGAAUAAGCACCGGCUAACUACGUGCCAGCAGCCGCGGUAAUACGUAGGGUGCGAGCGUUAAUCGGAAUUACUGGGCGUAAAACGUGCGCAGGCGGUUAUGCAAGACAGAGGUGAAAUCCCCGGGCUCAACCUGGGAACUGCCUUUGUGACUGCAUAGCUAGAGUACGGUAGAGGGGGAUGGAAUUCCGCGUGUGGCAGUGAAAUGCGUAGAUAUGCGGAGGAACACCGAUGGCGAAGGCAAUCCCCUGGACCUGUACUGACGCUCAUGCACGAAAGCGUGGGGAGCAAACA
rnacentral:rRNA from 1 species